rnacentral:tRNA from 1 species
GGUUUGAUGGCUGAACGCUUAAGCGGUGGGCUGUAGCCCCAAGGAUAGAGGUUGAAUUCCUCUUCAUGCCA